rnacentral:rRNA from 1 species
GACGAACGCUGGCGGCGUGCUUAACACAUGCAAGUCGAACGGAAAGGCCCUGCUUUUGUGGGGUGCUCGAGUGGCGAACGGGUGAGUAACACGUGAGUAACCUGCCCUUGACUUUGGGAUAACUUCAGGAAACUGGGGCUAAUACCGGAUAGGAGCUCCUGCUGCAUGGUGGGGGUUGGAAAGUUUCGGCGGUUGGGGAUGGACUCGCGGCUUAUCAGCUUGUUGGUGGGGUAGUGGCUUACCAAGGCUUUGACGGGUAGCCGGCCUGAGAGGGUGACCGGCCACAUUGGGACUGAGAUACGGCCCAGACUCCUACGGGAGGCAGCAGUGGGGAAUAUGGCACAAUGGGCGGAAGCCUGAUGCAGCAACGCCGCGUGCGGGAUGACGGCCUUCGGGUUGUAAACCGCUUUCGCCUGUGACGAAGCGUGGGUGACGGUAAUGGGUAAAGAAGCACCGGCUAACUACGUG